rnacentral:rRNA from 1 species
GACGGGGCCCCGCACAAGCAGCGGAGCGUGUGGUUUAAUUCGAUGUUACACGAAGAACCUUACCAGGGUUUGACAUGCAAGUGGUAGGAAGCCGAAAGGUGACCGACCCUUCGGGGAGCUUGCACAGGUGCUGCAUGGCUGUCGUCAGCUCGUGUCGUGAGAUGUUCGGUUAAGUCCGCUAACGAGCGCAACCCUCGCUGUGUGUUAUAUGUGUCACACGGGACUGCCGGUCUUAAGCCGGAGGAAGGUGGGGAUGAUGUCAAGUCAGCAUGGCCUUUAUAUCCUGGGCUACACACACGCUACAAUGGCCAACACAAUAGGUUGCUAAGCCGCGAGGUGGCGCCAAUCCAUAAAGUUGGUCUCAGUUCAGAUUGUAGGCUGCAACCCGCCUGCAUGAAGAUGGAGUUGCUAGUAACCGCAGGUCAGCUAUACUGCGAUGAAUACGUUCCCGGGGCUU